UCAUUACGAUUAGAUCGUUAUUUUUAUACGAAGAGUGAAUGAUUUGUUAAGAUUUGACAGUUAUUUGCGAUUGUCUUCGAAUUGUGUAAAGUUUUAUGGUCAUGGCUUAUGUCAAAAACUUACGAUGGGUCUUGAGUCACCUUUGAUCGUAAAACGGACAAAUUGUGGAUGUCCAAAAUUCCAAAAUAAUAAUUUAUAUUUUGUUAAAUAUCUAAAAUUAAUAUUUUUUUCCAUUCUAAAUCUCUCAAUUCAGUCUCCCCGUCCACAGUUAGCAUUUUUAGGACGAAACUUUGCGAAGUGUUUUGUUUGUAAACAAUGAACUCUGUUAAAAAGAGUAAUAAAUAAUAUAUUCUUUGCAAUGAACCUAUAAAGUCAAAACAAUGAAGUUAAUUGAGUGCUAUUAAUCGAUUUAUAUAGGAUGCUGAGAAUUGGACUCUGAGAGAAAGUGAGAAAAAGAAUAUACACGCUCUAGAAAUAUGUUGAAGAAGAAUGCUUGCGUAUCCUGGACACAGUCUCACUCCUCCAAGAACUGGGGAUCAAACAGCAUCUUUCUUCCAGUAUCCAAUGUCUUCUUACACACACUUUCUUUUGGACGUACCAGAGAAAGAGACGAUAAGUCCAUAGAGCGACAUAAACUCAAUACCUACGAUAUUUAAUACCAUACCAUGUUUUAGAUUUCUGCGACAUCUUGCAUGUUGUUGUAUCCAAUGUGUUGGCAUCUGUGUUCCAGGGCUUAUGUGUGUGGUUUAGUUAAGUUUGCUGGUUAUUAAGCAAAAAGGAAUCGAAUUUCAUUUUUAAAAUUAUGAUUAUGGCGAACGAACUCUUUCAUCAUCGCUCAUAGGAUAUUUGGAAUAUGCCCUAUAACUGCAGACUCCAAUAUUACAAAAAGCACCUGCAAUACAUUAGAAUAACAUAUUGGUGUGCUGAAGAAAAGAUGGCAAAGGCUUUUAGCUGAUAGGACAUUGUACUGAUGACCCUGUUAUCUGGUCAAAUCAUAAAUGUGUGUGUAUUAUCAAAAUAUUUGCAUAGAUUGUGAAAUGCUGAUGAUAUUUGGUUUGGUUUUGAUAUUUGAAAAUAAAAGAAUACUUACUUCUC